ACCGAAGCAUCUCCAACAGACGCGCGCUAGUGCGGCGCCCAAUCCGCGCCGAUCCAGCGGUCCCAUCUGCAGCCGCUCAGAGUUUGGUGCGCGCGCAAGCCGGCGCACCAAAUAUGCUGCGCGCGAUAGCGUUUUUAAGCGCGCGCCCAGAAAUUUUUAGCGCGCACAGCGUUUUGCAGCUUCUGCUGGAGCAGCCCGGCGCCCAAAAAACGAAUAUUUUAGCGCGCGGAGCAGUUUUUAGGCGCCUGUUGAAGAUG
rnacentral:lncRNA from 1 species